rnacentral:tRNA from 1 species
UCUAAUAUGGCAGAUUAGUGCAAUGGAUUUAAACUCCAUAUAUAAAAUAAUUUAUUUUUAUUAGAA